rnacentral:rRNA from 1 species
GAUGAACGCUAGCUACAGGCUUAACACAUGCAAGUCGAGCGACGGGCGCAUGAGUGAGUAACACGUAUCCGACCUUACCUUUACUCGUAGAUAGCCUUUCGAAAGAAAGACUAAUACCCAAUAUACAGGAUGGGGAUGCGUUCCAUUAGGGUGGUGGUGAGGGAAAGGCUCAGCAAGCAUUCGAUGGCUAGGGGUUCGGAGAGGAAGUUCCCCCAGAUUUGAGCUGAGACACAGUCCAAACUCCUACGGGGGGCUGGAGUGAGGAAUAUUGGUGAAUGGGCGCUGACCUGAACCAGCCAAGUAGGGUGAAGGAGGAAGGCGUUUGGGUGGUAAACUUCUUGUAUAUAAGAAUAGGUAUUAGAUGAAUAAGGAUCGGCUAACUCCGUGCCAGCAGCCGCGGUAAUUC